UACGUAGGGGGCGAGCGUUGUCCGGAUUUAUUGGGCGUAAAACGCUUGUAGGUGGCUACGUCAAGUCGGACGUGAAAUCUCCCGGCUCAACUGGGAGGGGUCGUGCGAUACGGCGGGGCUCGAGGCCGGUAGGGGGACGCGGAAUUCCCGGUGUAGUGGUGGAAUGCGUAGAGAUCCGGAGGAACACCAGCGGCGAAGGCGGCAUCCUGGACUGGUCCUGACACUCAGGAGCGAAAGCGUGGGGAGCGAUCCGG
rnacentral:rRNA from 1 species